rnacentral:rRNA from 1 species
GACGAACGCUGGCGGCGUGCUUAACACAUGCAAGUCGAGCGGUAAGGCCCUUUCGGGGGUACACGAGCGGCGAACGGGUGAGUAACACGUGGGUGACCUGCCCUCAGCUCUGGGAUAAGCCUGGGAAACCGGGUCUAAUACCGGAUAUGACUCCAUGACGCACGUUGUGGGGUGGGAAAGCCUUGUGCGGCUGAGGAGUGGGCCCGGCCGGCCUAUCAGCUUGUUGGUGGGGUGGAUGGCCACCAAGGACGGACGACGGGUAGGCCGGCCGUCGAGAGGGCGGACCGGCCGACACUGGGACGUGA